GGCAGAAAGGCGAGAGCCCGCGGUCCCCGGCUGCUGCCCAGGCGACGCGUCCGGGGCGGGCCCGCACCCGUUGCUCGGUCCGAGGUCCGUCUGUCUGCCCGCGGCUUCUCAAGGGAGGGGAGGGCGCUUCGGGCAGGGUCUCCGCAGCCGCUGUCGCCUCAGAGCUUUAUCCUCAGAUCAAAAAAGAAAAAACAGGAAGAAAAAAAUCCCAACCCCAACACUCUCAUCACAGCCACCUUCAGCCAUCUUGCGCGUAUUAUUAUUUCAGGAAUAAUCUGUUUAAUAAAAAUACC
rnacentral:lncRNA from 1 species